rnacentral:rRNA from 1 species
CCCUUAGAUGUUCUGGGCCGCACGCGCGCUACACUGAUGCAUUCAACGAGUCUAAAACCUGCUCUGAUAGGGGUGGGUAAUCUUUUGAAUGUGCAUCGUGAUUGGGAUAGAUGAUUGCAAUUUUUCAUCUUCAACGAGGAAUGCCUAGUAAACGCGAGUCAUCAGCUUGCAUUGAUUACGUCCCUGCCCUUUGUACACACCGCCCGUCGCUCCUACCGAUUGAAUGAUCCGAUGAAUAUCAUGGAUUGAGGAUUAUAGCAGGUUCGCCUGUCUUGAUCUUCGAGAAGUGAAGUAAAUCUUAUCAUUUAGAGGAAGGAGAAGUCGUAACA